UGGGGAAUUUUGGACAAUGGGGGCAACCCUGAUCCAGCCAUGCCGCGUGAGUGAAGAAGGCCUUCGGGUUGUAAAGCUCUUUCGGUGGGAACGAAACGGGUGCGGUUAAUACCCGCAUUUACUGACGGUACCUACAGAAGAAGCACCGGCUAACUACGUGCCAGCAGUCGCGGUAAUACGUAGGGUGCGAGCGUUAAUCGGAAUUACUGGGCGUAAAGCGUGCGCAGGCGGCGCGUUAAGACAGGUGUGAAAGCCCCGAGCUUAACUUGGGAAUUGCGCUUGUGACUGGCGGGCUGGAGUGUGGCAGAGGGAGGUGGAAUUCCACGUGUAGCAGUGAAAUGCGUAGAGAUGUGGAGGAACACCGAUGGCGAAGGCAGCCUCCUGGGCCAGCACUGACGCUCAUGCACGAAAGCGUGGGGAGCAAACAG
rnacentral:rRNA from 1 species